GGCGGCAGCGCAGGGGCCCCGCUCCUGAUGGGGCUCAGAAUCUUGGAAGGGCUAGCCCGGCAGCGACCCACCCAACCCACAAGGACGCAAUGUGCCAGCUCCUGCCUCUCUCUCUCUCUCUCUCUCUCUCUCUCCUUCCUNCCCCCCCCCCCCAGGCUAAGCGUGCUCAGAGACACGGCGAGGGGAGGAGGGUGCCACUGACCGAGGCCAUGGGCAGCUGUGGCGGGCAAGUCGAGUGCCAGAGCAACACCUGGGCGAAGGCCGCCUCUGCACAGCUCCCAGCAGGUGGAGCCAGCCGGGACUGAGCCCCAGGACCCCCCCCCUCCCCAGCCGCAUGAGGUGCCGCCCAUGGGACUCUCCUCCCGUUCCUGAUGCAGUGCGUGGUAAGUGACCCUCUCUCCUGACCUCCUUCUGCAGCCAUGGGAGGGGGAGGGGGUCCCUGUGGGUUCCUGGAAAGGCCAGGACAGUGUCUGCAUCUGGAAAGCAUCUGCACGCAGUAAGGCCUGCAGGAAGCCAAGGUGCUGCUGCUUCUUGGAGGAGAAGCCAAGACGUGGGGGGGAGGCAGAUGGUUGGGAGGGCUUGCUUUUCAAAAACUUUUCGUCCUGGCUCCUUCUCACAGUUAAAAACAGAGUGAUUUGUGAAAAGAGGUUCUUGCGGCUUGCUUUCAAAGCCCACAGACAUAGGCUGGUGGAUAUGGUCUAAGGCUGCCUUUAUGUACACUAUACUGUAUUUAAAAUGAAAUUUGUUGUGAGAAGACGGGAAAAGCUCGUGGUGUUAGGGAAAGUGGAAGGCAGCAGGAAAAGAGGAAGCUUCCUGCCAUGAGAUGGAUUGCCUCCAUAAAGGUCUUUGACCCUUUACAGGAGCCGAGCAGGGCUGCUAAUGACGGGACGGUUUCAGAGGCCGUUUGUCCAUCGGGUCUCUGCAAGGCAGAAGCAACUUCAUGGUGCAGGACAACACGACAAGCCGCCUGCAUAUUUUUGUGACAUGAUGCAUAGCCAAUGGGGGAAAUGGUGUGCUAAAGGGCUCACAGUUGUGCCUAUUUCCUAGCUUGCACCGGUGGCCAACUGUUUACUCAUCCUGGUUACAGCAGGUAGACUCGUGGCAUCAGGCAUGGACCAGUUUUUUUGACUCACCCUCCUGAUUGUGACACGACAAGGUAGCAGCGGAAGGUGGUAAGGCCCAGCCAUAAGCUGCUAUCUUUCCUCAGCCCAUCAGCCUGUCGUACGUAAAACCCUGAUUCCCCAAGGAGGAAGGGUGGUGUUGCUGUAGUGUAGCUGCCCUGGGCCCUGCUCCUCCUAAGGCUCA
rnacentral:lncRNA from 1 species